rnacentral:rRNA from 1 species
AUGCUGCGCCGGCUUCAAUGUGCCGGCGCCCAGGCGGUUGCUGCCCUGUGGCCAGACAUGCCGGUUCUGCGCACUCCCAGUCGGACUACCGACUGGCUGGAGGUCGCGGCUAGUCGUCUUGAGGCCUGGAAGGGUUCCUCUGCCCGGGCUGGAGCGCGCCGGGCCUUGGAAUUCGUCAAGGUGUGGUAUCCAGGGCUGGACCUGGACCGGCUGGCCGCGUUCCGGUCAGAGGCCCAGGCGGAGCUGGUAGCUGUGGAAAACGCCCUCGUCGCCCGUGCGGCGGCGAUCGCCGACUACGCAGACACGAGCGUCUUCGUUCCUGAUCGGGCUGAAGACAGCGGGGAGGUGCCGCCGGAGUGGUUCAGGAUGAACCCGGACUAUGACGAGGACUCGGCGGAGGUGAUCGGUUCCAGCACCAAGGAGGAAGGUGAGGCGGAGGACGGAGGUCAGACGGAGGUGCCAGAAGACGGAGCGGGCAACCAACCUCAGCUCGACCGCGCCUCCAGCAACGAGCCGCACCCGACCGAGCCGACUGCCGCCGGAGACGAUAAGGCCGAGACUGUCCGGCCGGCUGCAACGGCGCCUGACACUGCCAUCUCUUCCGACCCUCUGAACCCGUCUGCCGCUUCCUAG